rnacentral:rRNA from 1 species
CGUCUGGUGGAUGGCUCGGCUCGGGCGCCGAUGAAGGGCGCGGCAAGCGGCGAUAUGCCCGGGGUAGGCGCAAGCAGCCGUCGAACCCGGGAUUCCCGAAUGGGACUUCCUGCUGAGGGUUAACAGCCCUCAGCGCCCCCAUUCGGGGGCGGGAACCCCCCGAACGGAAACAUCUUAGUAGGGGGAGGAAAAGAAAUCAAAUUGAGAUCCCCUGAGUAGGGGCGACCGAAAGGGGGACAGCCCAAACCAAAUCCCCACGGGAUAACCGUGGGGAGAUGUGGGGUUAUCGGCUCCACGGCUGGGGCUCGACCCCAGCGAGCCGACCCACCGUAGCCGAAGUGGGCUGGAAUGCCCCACCGUAGAGGGUGACAGUCUGGGGGCAGGCGUUGAUUGCUCUGCCCUCAGGUCAACUCCCGUAGGCUAAACGGUGGGGGCUCGUGCCGUGGAGCAGAGUACCACGGCUUGGUUUUGCCGUGGGAAGUCGGGGGUCACCGACCUCCAAGGCUAAAUACGUCCCGAGACCGAUAGCGCACUAAGUACCGUGAGGGAAAGCUGAAAAGUACCCCGGAAGGGGGGUGAAAAGAGCCUGAAACCAGGCGGCUAAUAACGGUGCGGCUCGAAAGGGGUGAAUCCCCCCGAAGGAAAAACGGGUGACCGUUGAGUACGAGGGGGGAGGACCGGGGUCGCACCGUCCGUCUUGAAACACGGGCCGGGGAGUUCACGGCAGUGGCGAGCUUAAGGGGGUUAACCCCGAAGGCGUAGGGAAACCGACCUGCCCGCAGCGGGAAACCGUGAGGGGCGGGGUCUGCAAGGGCCUGGAGUCACUGCCGUGAGACCCGAAACCGGGCGAUCUAGGCGGGGGUAGGGUGAAGCCGGGGGAAACCCCGGUGGAGGCCCGAAGGGGUGCUGACGUGCAAUUCGCUCCUCUAACCUCCGCCUAGGGGCAAAAGACCAAUCUAGCCCGGUGAUAGCUGGUUCCCUCCGAAGUGUGUCUCAGCACAGCCCCGCUGGAGGUGGGUCACGGGGUAGAGCUACGGAUUGAGGGUGCCGUGAGCCGGAAGGCUCCGGGCUCUCAGUCCAACUCCGAACCCGUGGCCACCGUAGAAGGCGGGAGUGGGGCGCCCCGGGGUAAGCCUGGGGGCCGAGAGGGGAACAACCCAGGCCGGGGUUAAGGCCCCAAAGUGCCGGCUAAGUGCCAAACGUAAAGGGCGUCCGCGGCCUAAGACAGCGGGAAGGUGGGCCUAACAGCAGCCAUCCUCUAAAGGCAGGGCCUAAAACCCUGCCGGGGAGGGAGUGCGUAAGCCACUUAUCUCUCCGCCAAUUUUAAAAUGAAUCGUACUGCAUAAUAAUGGGUCGAGUAUGUAAAAUGACUGAGAGGAUAUAUUUAAAAGCAUAUAUUGCUGGUGCUUUAAGAGACGGUUACAUUGGAAGGUAUGUAGAAAGAAAGAAUAGCAAGGAGCAUUGGGUGCUGAGAAUAUAUAGCAAGGAUGUAGAAUGGCUUAAUGAAUUGGUUAAAAUACUCAAGUACGCAUAUGGAUUUGAGACAAAUGUGAUAAUCCCACAUAGAGGUAUACCGUAUAUAGAGAAAUACUCAAAGAAAAUAGUGGAGCAUAUCGCUAAAGAGUUAAACCACCCAAUAGGUAAAUCAAUAAACUGGGACACGCCAAUGUUCAUUAAAAACACCAACGAUAAGGGUAUAUGGAGGUAUUACAUAGCUGGAUUCUUCGAUGCAGAGGGUGGAGUGGAUAUAACUAAGAAGCAAUUGAAGAUAUACCAAUCAUGGAGAGGUGAAGUAUGUCCCCCAUUAAUGGAUAUAAAAGAUAAGAUGCUAACUCUUUUUGGAAUAGAGAGUGGGGAAGUAUCCAGGUACCCUAAUAGAAGAUACAACCCAAGAUUCGUUGUAAGAAUAAAGAAAAAAUACACAUAUAUGUUUUACAAAACUUUCCCAUUAUUAAACCCAUCUAAAAUAAACAAGAUCAAGCUCAUUAUUUAAAUCCUUUUAGGGCGGAGGGAUGGUGGCCGCAAAACAGCUCACCCGCCGAGGCCGCGGGCCCCGAAAAUACGUCGGGGCUUAAGCCGGCCGCCGAGACCCCGGGGCACGGCCUCCAUGAGGCCGUGAUCCGGUAGGAGGGCGUCGGGAUGGGGUAGAAGUCGGGCCGUGAGGUCCGAUGGACCCGUCCCGAGUGCGGAUCCCGGCGGUAGUAACAGCAAAGUGGGGUGAGAAUCCCCACGGCCGGAAGGGCCAGGGUUCCUCAGCAACGGUCGUCAGCUGAGGGUUAGCCGGUCCUAAGGCAGGCCGUAACUCGGUCCUGCCGAAAGGGAAACGGGUUAAUAUUCCCGUGCCGCGGAGGUAGGUGCGGCAACGCAAGCCCGAACCCUGACGCGUCGAGGUAGGCCGACCGAGGCAGCCGCCUCGGCUAACUACCCGAAGGCCGGGGAGUGCCGUAACGGCGAGAACCGGCUGAAGGGAGGAAUGGCCCCCGUUAGGGGGUUCGGCCGAGCCUCGGCGCCCUUGAAAAGGGGUUCGGGAACGAACCUCCGCGACCGUACCGAGAACCGACACAGGUGCCCCUGGGUGAGGAGCCCAAGGCUUGUGGGGGCUAACCCAGGCUAGGGAACUCGGCAAAUUAGCCCCGUAACUUCGGGAUAAGGGGUGCCUGCGGUUCUGCGGAAAACCCGUGGAACCGCGGGUCGCAGUGACAAGGGGGUCCUGACUGUUUAAUAAAAACAUAGCUCCCCGCUAGUCCGAAAGGAUUAGUACGGGGGGUGAAUCCUGGCCACUGGCGGUACGUGAAGCCGGGGUACAACCCGGUGAAGCGCCGCUGAAGGCCGGGGGUAACUCUGACCCUCUUAACGGGGGUCUCCCACCCGCUAGCAACACGGUAGUUUAUACUUAUUACAUGGGUGGAAAAGAUGCAACUGGGACUGGUGAGGUAAUGAGGCCAGAAAUAAUAGGAUAUGUUGUGGGCUUCAUUGAUGCUGAAGGGAGUUUCUCAGUGAGCGUGAAGUUACAGAAAGACGUUGUAUAUGGAGUGAGGCUUGAUCCCGUCUUCAGCAUAACUCAGCAAGGGAGGGAGCCUCUUGAAGUUAUCGCUGAUGUACUUAAUGCGGGAAGAAUAAUUCGAAAGCCUGGUCAAAGACACCUGUGGUUGCUUAUAGUAGAUAGAAUGAGUGAGCUGACUCAGAGCUUAAUACCGUUCUUGGACAAAUACAGGGAUCUCCUUCUAGCUAAGAGAGAAAUAUAUGAGCUGUUUAGGGAGAUAGUCAUUGGCUUGCAUAGUGGAAUGCAUAAAAGACCUGCGGGUCUUAAGAAGCUUGUGACUUUAUCUUACAGCCUCUCUAGAUUGAACUCGAAGGCCCAUAGAAAGAGGGCCCUUAAACAAAUUUUAGAAAUAAUCGAUUCCCGUGUUGCCGAGUGGGGGGAGCCCCCGGGAGAUAGGUAGCCAAAUGCCUUGCCGGGUAAGGCAGGCACCACGUAUUGCAUAAUAUGUGGUGUCUGCCCUCGACAGUUCCGGCGCGCAUGAAUGGAUCAACGAGGGCCCCACUGUCCCAGCCUGGGACCCCGUGAAGCCCACGGGGCUGGUGCACAGGCCAGCAUCCCCCCGUAGGGAGAGAAGACCUCGUGGAGCUUUACCGCAGCCUGGCGUUGGUUCUCGGGUUGCGGUGCGUAGCGUAGGCGGGAGGCUGUGAACCCACUCUUCCGGGGGUGGGUGAGCCGUAAGUGAAACACCGCCUACCGCGAUCUGAGGGCCUAACCUCGGGUUCGCCCGAGGGACAGCGUCAGGUGGGCGGUUCGGCUGGGGCGGCACGCCUGCGAAAAGAUAACACAGGCGCCCAAAGGUCAGCUCAGGCGGGUCAGAACUCCGCCGUAGAGUGCAAGGGCAAAAGCUGGCCUUACCAGACCCUUGAACGUAAGGGGUCUGGUCGGGAAACCGCGGCCUAGCGAACGCUCGUGCCCCCUUCGGUGGGGGCCGGGCAUGACAGAAAAGUUACCCCGAGGAUAACAGGGUCGUCGCGGGCGAGAGUCCCCAUCGACCCCGCGGUUUGCUACAUCGAUGUCGGCUCUUCCCAUCCUGGGAGUGCAGCAGCUCCCAAGGGUGGGGCUAAGGGGGUAAGGCGCUUAAGAAGGUAAGCGUUCUUCCCCCUCCCUAAGCCCGCCCAUUAAAGGGGAGCGUGAGCUGGGUUUAGAGCGUCGUGAGACAGCUCGGACUCUACCCACGGGGGGUGCGGGCCGCCUGAGGGGAAGGCAUCCCAAGUACGAAAGGAACGGGAUGUCGCGGCCUCUGGUCUACCGGCUGUCCGGCAGGGCAUGCCGGGCAGCUACGCCGUGCGAGCUAACCGCUGAAAGCAUCUAAGCGGGAAGCUCGCCCCGAAAAGAGGCGGCCGUUCGCCGGAGGUUCCCUCCGGCGACGAGGGCACCCGUAGAAGACGGGUUUGAUGGGGCGGGGGUGUAUGC